UACGUAGGGUGCGAGCGUUAAUCGGAAUUACUGGGCGUAAAGCGUGCGCAGGCGGUUUUGUAAGCCAGAUGUGAAAUCCCCGGGCUUAACCUGGGAAUGGCAUUUGGGACUGCAAGGCUGGAGUGCGGCAGAGGAGACUGGAAUUCCUGGUGUAGCAGUGAAAUGCGUAGAUAUCAGGAGGAACACCGAUGGCGAAGGCAGGUCUCUGGGCUGACACUGACGCUCAUGCAUGAAAGCGUGGGGAGCAAACAGG
rnacentral:rRNA from 1 species